UUGGUGCGGAAGGUCUUUGGAGUGGGAGU
rnacentral:piRNA from 1 species